rnacentral:rRNA from 1 species
UACGGGGGGGGCAAGCGUUGUUCGGAAUUACUGGGCGUAAAGGGUUCGUAGGUGGCUUGCUAAGUCAGACGUGAAAUCCCUCAGCUCAACUGGGGAACUGCGUCUGAGACUGGCGAGCUUGAGUGCAGGAGAGGAAUGCGGAAUUCCAGGUGUAGCGGUGAAAUGCGUAGAUAUCGCUUGGAACGCCAAAGGUGAAAACAGGUUGCUGGGGUUGUGCCGACGCUGAGACACGAAAGCCAGGGGAGCAAACGGG